rnacentral:rRNA from 1 species
GUGCCAGCCGCCGCGGUAAUACGGAGGGUGCAAGCGUUAUCCGGAUUUAUUGGGUUUAAAGGGUGCGCAGGCGGACCAAUUAGUCAGUGGUGAAAUCCCGAGGCUCAACCUCGGAACUGCCAUUGAUACUGUUGGUCUUGAAUACGGUUGAAGUAGGCGGAAUGUAGCAUGUAGCGGUGAAAUGCAUAGAGAUGCUACAGAACACCGAUCGCGAAGGCAGCUUACUAAACCGAUAUUGACGCUCAGGCACGAAAGCGUGGGGAGCGAACAGGAUUAGAUACCCUGGUAGUCCACGCCGUAAACUAUGAUCACUCGUUGUUGGCAAUACACAGUCAGUGACCAAGCGAAAGCGAUAAGUGAUCCACCUGGGGAGUACGAUCGCAAGGUUGAAACUCAAAGAAAUUGACGG